GUUCCUGUAGUUAAAUGUUUAUAACAAUGGCUUUUCAAGCCAUAGGUCCUGGAUAGAGUCCUGGCAGGAAUC
rnacentral:tRNA from 1 species